UUACCAUGAUGAUAGGGGCCUUAAUCAUAUAGCCUGUUCCAGGCUCUCGGGCAGUGGGGACGAUUGGAAAAGCGGGUGAGGGACAAGCGGGGUCUGUUAGAGAAUAAGACUCAGACCCCGCCGGUCGCCUGCCCGCUUUUUCGAUCGUCCCUACAGACCGAGAGCCUAGAACAGGCUAUUAAUCAUAUUAACACAGAAUUUAAAUAGUCCUGUAUUUGCUCUGUGAUAUGGUUUGGUAAAUACAAUUAAUAUCGUCCUUAUUAACAUGUCAAGUGCUUUGUUUGUAGCCCAAUCCAUGAACACCACCUUCUCCCCCCUGGGGAGAAAGUACUUGUAGUUGUGAGUGAGAAGGAGACAAGCUCUAUUAUUGCCUACACACUGAGCACUAAAGAAUAUAACGAGUGCUUGCUUGACAUUCAGCGGACCCUGUCAGAAAUCAUGAAUGGAGCGACCAGGGAAUUUCUACAAAGUAAAAGUGAUUUCGGAAAGUCUGUUGACGUAUCUCUGAAGGGACAGCCGCAGGCGGACAUUCCGCAUUGUUCAGACAAGAUUAUCAGAGUUGAUUCCAGUACAGAGGCGAAUGAAGGUGAAUAAAUAGGAGUCUCAUCCUUACAGGCUAACAACAGAAUGUUACAAAUGAAAACCUGUUUUGUGUAUUUUCUGAUUGCUUUUAUAUCUUAGAGCGGUUUUUCAAUUGUGUGUCGAAAGUAAUCAGGCAAUUACUUUGGUUUUGGUUUUGGUUUUGGUUUUACCACGGUUUGAGAUUGGCUGAGUAGCCUAAUUGGUGAGUAAUUGGAUUUGGUUUUUACGACACUCAAUUGAAAUCCGCUCUAUUCCGACUUUUCGUUAUAAGUGACUGAUCAUUGCCCAAUUUUAGUUCAUAUAACAGGUUUUCAAACUUGUAACAACCUAUAAACGUAACUUUGAGCUGUGAGCUGAAGUAAAUUUUCAACUAAGACAAUGUAACCUCGAAAUGGAUCCAUGCCUGUAAUAUAUAUCUGUGACAAAGCUUCCAGCAUUCCAUAUCCCCCUCCCUCUUC